rnacentral:rRNA from 1 species
GACACAGGGAGGUAGUGACAAGAAAUAACAAUACGGGGCUUAAAGUCUUGUAAUUGGAAUGAUGGGAAUUUAAACCUCUUCCAGAGUAUCAAUUGGAGGGCAAGUCUGGUGCCAGCAGCCGCGGUAAUUCCAGCUCCAAUAGCGUAUAUUAAAAUUGUUGCAGUUAAAAAGCUCGUAGUUGAAUUUCUGCUGCAUUGCUUGUGUCCCUCUGGGGUCUGUGCAUGUGGCUUUUUUCGGACGGAGUUUCUUUGUCUGAAUGUUUACUUUGAGAAAAUUAGAGUGCUCAAAGCAGGCUUUCGCCUUGAAUAGUUUAGCAUGGAAUAAUAAAGUAGGACUUUGGUUCUAUUUUGGUGGUUUUAGGUACCAAAGUAAUGGUUAAUAGGAACAGUUGGGGGCAUUCGUAUUUAACUGUCAGAGGUGAAAUUCUUAG